CCUACGGGUGGCAGCAGUGGGGAAUAUUGGACAAUGGGGGGAACCCUGAUCCAGCCAUGCCGCGUGUGUGAAGAAGGCCCUCGGGUUGUAAAGCACUUUCAGUGAGGAAGAACGCCUGGUGGUUAAUACCCAUCAGGAAAGACAUCACUCACAGAAGAAGCACCGGCUAACUCCGUGCCAGCAGCCGCGGUAAUACGGAGGGUGCGAGCGUUAAUCGGAAUUACUGGGCGUAAAGCGCGCGUAGGUGGCUUGAUAAGCCGGUUGUGAAAGCCCCGGGCUCAACCUGGGAACGGCAUCCGGAACUGUCAAGCUAGAGUGCAGGAGAGGAAGGUAGAAUUCCCGGUGUAGCGGUGAAAUGCGUAGAGAGCGGGAGGAAUACCAGUGGCGAAGGCGGCCUUCAGGACUGACACUGACACUGAGGUGCGAAAGCGUGGGUAGCAAACAGGAUUAGAUACCCUGGUAGUC
rnacentral:rRNA from 1 species